rnacentral:tRNA from 1 species
GUGGCCGUAGUUCAGUUGGUAGAACCUCCGAUUGUGAUUCGGAAUGUCACGGAUUCAAAUUCCGUCGGUCACC